AAGUCGUAACAAGGUUUCCGUAGGUGAACCUGCGGAAGGAUCAUUACCAUACAGGUCUCUGACCUUACACCUGUGCUCUCGUGACUUCUUUGUGGAGCUCUGCUUCACGUGUUUUACCAGGAAUAUAUUGAGUGUUGGAGAAAACUAAACUUAUACAACUUUUAACGGCGGAUCUCUUGGCUCGU
rnacentral:misc_RNA from 1 species